rnacentral:lncRNA from 1 species
AGAAGAUCAUCCAUGGGGAAUAGUUGGAGAGAUAGACAGGUAUGUGUUGGGAUGGAUAGGUGUAUAUAGAGAUAUCUGGACAGCCGGCCAGUAGUUCUGGUGCUAAAGUUGUUGAGAACUUGGAUUUGCAAGAAAAGAACCGACAGCAGGUUCUGGUCCCCAGCUGCCUGACCCACACUCCCUGCAGGAGUCCCUACAGGACCUGACAGGAGGCACGUCUCAUUUCUGGGUCGGACUGUCCCUCCACUCCCCGGAGAAGGCCUGGACCUGGUUGAACGGCUCCCGGCUGGAUCAGACCCAGUUUCCGGUGUCAGGCCCGGCUGAGGGGAACAGCUGUGGCGCGCUGGCAGGGAAACAGCUUAAUUCUGACACCUGCAGCUCUGCAUUUCAGUGGAUUUGCCAGCGAGACGCCGUCCCACUCCAAACAGGGUACGGGGGACACCUCAGAGCACAGCUCCAUAUCCCACAUGUCACACAUGGGGAAACCAACACACAGACACAGAGGCCUGGUCUACACUACACGUUUAAACCGAAUUUAGCAGAGUUAAACUGAUUUAACCCUGCACCCGUCCACACAGCGAGGCCCUUUAUGUCCAUAUAAAGGGCUCUUUAAAAAGGUUUCUGUAUUCCUCCCCGACGAGAGGAGUAGCACUGAAAUCGGUAUUGCCAUGUUGGAUUAGGGUUAGUGUGGCCGCAAAUCGAUGGUAUUGGCCUCCAGGCGGUAUCCCACAGUGCACCAUUGUGGCCGCUCUGAAAAGCAAUCUGAACUCGGAUGCACUGGCCUGGUAAACAGGAAAAGUCCCGCGAAUUUUUGAAUGUCAUUUUCUGUUUUCCCAGCAUGGAGCUCUGAUGAGCACGGGUGGCGAUGCAGUCCCAAAUCCAGAAAGAGCUCCAGCAUGGGCCGUACGGGAGAUACUGGAUCUGAUCGCUGUAUGGGGAGACAAAUCUCUUCUAUCAGAGCUCCGUUACAGAAGACGAAAUGACAAAGCAUUUGAAAAAAUCUCCAGGCUGUGAUAGACAGAGGCCACAGCACAGUGCUGUGUGACAAGCGUAACGGAAAGCCAAAGAAUCAAAUGGGCGCUCAUGGAGGGAGGGAGAGAGGACUGACGACUCCAGCUAUCCCACAGUCCCCAGCAGUCUCCAAAAAGUAUUUGCAUUCUUGGCUGAGCUCCCGUGCCUGUAGGGUCAAACACGUUGUCCGGGGUGGUUCAGGGUAUAUCUCGUCAAUUUACCUGCUCCACCCCCCGUGAAAGAAAAGGGAAAAAAAUCGUUUCUUGACUUUUUUCAAUGUCACUGUAUGUCUACUGCAUGCUGCUGGUAGACGUGGUGCUGCGGCAAUGAACAGCAGCAUCAUCUCCUCUCCUCUCCUCUCCGGUGGUAAAGUGCAAAAGGACUGAUAGCCAUCCUUGUCAUCAUCCCAUGAGUGCUCCUGGCUGGCCUCAGGUGAGGUCGGCCGGGGUUGCCUGGGUAAAAGCAGGAAUGACUCCCGGGUCA